CACGUAGGCGGAUUGUUAAGUCAGGGGUGAAAUCCUGGAGCUCAACUCCAGAACUGCCUUUGAUACUGGCGAUCUCGAGUCCGGGAGAGGUGAGUGGAACUGCGAGUGUAGAGGUGAAAUUCGUAGAUAUUCGCAAGAACACCAGUGGCGAAGGCGGCUCACUGGCCCGGUACUGACGCUGAGGUGCGAAAGCGUGGGGAGCAAACA
rnacentral:rRNA from 1 species